rnacentral:lncRNA from 1 species
AUGAAGAAACUUUUUGUACAAGGUAGUAUUCUCCAAGGCCUGAUCCAAAGCGCUCUGUACUCAGUAGGAACCAUUCCACCUCAGGGCUCACUCAGUGUUUUCCAACAUCCUCUGACUCUGAGGAGGUUUAUUUUCCAGAGAAUGAAUCAAUCCAGGAUUGUCAUUUCUAGAUGGAAAUCUGCCAAGAUGAAUCUCUCUCCCUCUUCAUACUGUUAUCGCUCUUUGUUAUCAAGUUAUUAUGGACUACAGGUAGCAAGUGUUUUUGGCCUUACAAGCAAUACACCAAAGCUGUCAAGUGACCGAGAGCUUCCAACCAGACUCUGCAUGAUUUGAGAGGCCCAGUGGAUUGUUUUGGUUCUACUUGUGAGAUAUUUUGAAAUAUUACAGCAUCCAUUACCACAGUAUUAGCACUUCACUGUCCUUAAUGCUGUUUAAUCCAUCAGUUUUAGAUCCCAAACCAAGGACUCGCUGCCAGUAGUCACCACUACCAAUGCAAUGCAGACUGUCAGAUUGCAACCUUGGCCGUAACAAGGUCACGUAAUAAAGCACGUGUCAGAGGAAAGACUGUAAUAAUA